AGUGAACGCUGGCGGCAGGCCUAACACAUGCAAGUCGAGCGGCAGCGGGUCCUUCGGGAUGCCGGCGAGCGGCGGACGGGUGAGGAAUGCGUCGGAAUCUGCCUUUUUGUGGGGGAUAACGUAGGGAAACUUACGCUAAUACCGCAUACGACCUACGGGUGAAAGUGGGGGACCGCAAGGCCUCACGCCUAAAGCUGAGCCGUCGUCGGAUUAGCUAGUUUGCGGGGUAAAGGCCCAACAAGGCGACGAUCCGUAGCUGGUCUGAGAGGAUGAUCAGCCACACUGGAACUGAGACACGGUCAAGACGCCUACGGGAGGCAGCAGUGGGGAAUAUUGGACAAUGGGCGCAAGCCUGAUCCAGCCAUGCCGCGUGUGUGAAGAAGGCCUUCGGGUUGUAAAGCACUUUUGUCCGGAAAGAAAUCCUGUCGGCUAAUACCCGGCGGGGAUGACGGUACCGGAAGAAUAAGCACCGGCUAACUUCGUG
rnacentral:rRNA from 1 species